UACGAAGGGGGCUAGCGUUGCUCGGAAUCACUGGGCGUAAAGGGUGCGUAGGCGGGUCUUUAAGUCAGGGGUGAAAUCCUGGAGCUCAACUCCAGAACUGCCUUUGAUACUGAGGAUCUUGAGUUCGGGAGAGGUGAGUGGAACUGCGAGUGUAGCGGUGAAAUUCGUAGAUAUUCGCAAGAACACCAGUGGCGAAGGCGGCUCACUGGCCCGAUACUGACGCUGAGGCACGAAAGCGUGGGGAGCAAACAGG
rnacentral:rRNA from 1 species